AGCAGCCGCGGUAAUUCCAGCUCCAAUAGCGUAUAUUAAAGUUGUUGCAGUUAAAAAGCUCGUAGUUGAAUUUCGGGGUUAGUAGGUUGGUCAUGCCUCUGGUAUGUACUGGUCUCACUGAUUCCUCCUUCCUGAUGAACCUUAAUGCCAUUAAUUUGGUGUUUUGGGGAAUUUGGACUGUUACUUUGAAAAAAUUUAGAGUGUUUAAAGCAAGCUAACGCUUGAAUACAUUAGCAUGGAAUAGUGAAAUAGGACGUUCGAUCCUAUUUUGUUGGUUUCUAGGAUUGACGUAAUGAUUAAUAGGGAUAGUUGGGGGCAUUAGUAUUCAAUUGUCAGAGGUGAAAUUCUUGGAUUUAUUGAAGACUAACUACUGCGAAAGCAUUUGCCAAGGAUGUUUCAUUAAUCAAGAACGAAAGUUAGGGGAUCGAAGACGAUCAGAUACCGUCGUAGUCUUAACCAUAAACUAUGCCGACUAGGGAUCGGAUGAUGUUAAUUUUUUAAUGACUCAUUCGGCGCCUUA
rnacentral:rRNA from 1 species